GGCCCCAUUGGUUUUGAUUCCGAAUUGAAAUCACAUUGUGGAAAAGUCAGUUGUACUAGGCCUUCUUCCUAUGACAUUUGGAAAGUGGAUCACAACAUUUAUAAUUACUAUGAUGACUGCCUAUGCAAUCCUCCAAAUUUGAACGUAAAUUAAACUAAACUCACAGUAAAAACAUAUAAAUUUUGGAUUAUGAGGGGACCCAAAACUCGAUUCCAAAUCGGAACCGACUCAGAUUUUCCAUUAAGUGUCGUGUGCACAUUUGCAAUAUGGUGGACCAUUGUGCUUUCCAUUAUUAAAAAGGAAACAGAGUUUAAUAUAAAUAAUUAACUCAAGACAAAGCAAUCUUAUUGUUCUUACCAAGUGAAACUAAAUGGAAGCUUUUGUUUUUGUUUUUGCAAUAAAGGCCAG
rnacentral:lncRNA from 1 species